UACGUAGGUGGCAAGCGUUGUCCGGAUUUAUUGGGUUUAAAGGGUGCGUAGGCGGCUUUAUAAGUCAGUGCUGAAAUAUCCCGGCUUAGCCGGGAGGGUGGCAUUGAUACUGCAGAGCUUGAGUGAAGUCGAGGUAGGCGGAAUUGACGGUGUAGCGGUGAAAUGCUUAGAUAUCGUCAAGAACACCGAUAGUGAAGACAGCUUACUAGACUUCAACUGACGCUGAGGCACGAAAGUGUGGGGAUCAAACAGG
rnacentral:rRNA from 1 species